GCGGGUUUCGUUCUCUGCGAACAUUCACGACAAUCUAUGUUGUUCGUUGUCGACGAAACCUGAAA
rnacentral:pre_miRNA from 1 species